AUGUCCGGAAAGUCUCCAUCUGCACCCGGGUACCCUCCAGCCUCAGCCCCGCAGCCCCCGAGCAGCCCGUCUCAGGGCUGUGCCCCUGCAGCAGGAGAGACUUGGAGGUUCCCUCUAGCAGCCAGCAAGGUCUCGUCUCUCUCAAAGCAUAAACGGAGCCGUCCCGCAGUGGGAGGAGGAGGGGAUGCCGCUGGCAGGCAAGAAGGCAGCGGCCAGACUCCUUACCGAGGUCCCUCGGCUGCACAGCCCCCUCAUCUCUGCGGGGAAGCCAAACGUCCCGGAGCUGGAGCGGCCGCGCUCCCCUCCACCGGUGCAGGCAGCCAAGGGCCCGGCACCGUCCCCCAACUUCCCGGUGCUGGGGACCCUCGAGGAGCAGCCAGGCAGAGUGUGCGGGAGGCAUCGCUCUCUCCUGGAGACUCCGCUGGGAUUUGCAGACGAGCGCAGAUUGAGGACAGCUCGCCAGCCCCAGCCUGCCCGGUGCCAGAUCCCAGAGCUUUCCCGGGCGGGGAUCCAGUCCCAGGCCAGUCCCAGGCUGAGCAUCCCCCGGUCGGUGCUUUCUCGAGGCCGAGCCAUUGUGCAGCAUCGCCGGGCCGGGGCGGGGGNNNNNNNNNNNNNNNNNNNNNNNNNNNNNNNNNNNNNNNNNNNNNNNNNNGCGGGGGGGCUCCGGCUGCCGGGGGGGAAGGCGGCGCGGAGGAUGCCGGCGCGGGGGGGAAGGCAGCGGAGGGGGUCUGCAAAGGGCAGUUGUCCCCUCGCCACUCCAUGACUCCGCGCAGCAAGGAGAUUUAUGAAGGCACGUACCAAAGACUGGAUAGCCUGGAAGAAACUAUCCGUGAGCUGGAACUAACCAUCAGUGAGAUCAGCAGCCAUCCCUCGGCUGAAUUUGUAUUCCCUAGAGAGCUGCUAGGACAAGCGGGACCCAAGGGUACCAGCGAGGAGAGCAAGGAAGGUCUGGGGGAUCUCAAACACGGUAGCUGUGACGAUGGGACUGUCCUGGACCUCAGUCGAGCCAAAGAUGAUGAGAGUCCAUCUCCAAGCAAGCCCAAGCCGCCUCUGCUACCCAAGCCGCAGCUCCCCCUCGACACUCCGCAGAGCGGUGGCGUGUCCAUCCCGGCCAUGAAGGUGGUGAACCCGGCGUCCCGGCUGAAGCAGAGCCCACAGGGCAGCCCCGACAAGAGCAAGCACAUAAAGCAGCGGAUGGAGUACAUGCGGAUCCAGGGCCAGCAGCAGGUAGUCCAUCUCUAGCACUGGCCCAGCCGGCUCUCCUGGUAGCCGGGCGAGCCGCAGGCUGCCCACAGCUCCAGCAUCCCCCUCGCUGCCUUGUACGGGGAGAGGGUGCUUGUGGUGGGCAGGGGAGACCCUGCGGGUGUUGCUUUCGGGGACCAGGGUGUCCCCUUCCGCCUUGGCUGAGCCCCGUGGGGGUGCAGGGACCAAGGGGCUCUCACCCCAGUCUGAGCCCGGCGUGGGCUGUUGGGGACGGGGACAC
rnacentral:lncRNA from 1 species